rnacentral:tRNA from 1 species
GAGACGCUAGUAAAACCAUUACUUUGCUUUGUCAAGGCAAAAUUGUGGGUUAGACCCCCACGUGACUCA